UGUGGGAACCGCUACUCUUUCUGUGUGU
rnacentral:piRNA from 1 species